AAGGUCCGUUUGUCGGUCGCAGAGCAGAGAUCGGAAUCCGAGCCGUGAUUUGGCUUCGUUUACCCCUCUGUUACUGUUGAUUCAUCUGUUACUGUUACUAUGUCUCUCUCUGUUACUGUUGCUUCAUCUGUUACUGUUACUAUUUGAUACUAUUAUUCGUUCUCUCUUAACGGUACGUUCCGUCUUACUUCUCUUCUUAAAAAAGAGAUGAAGAUAGAUCGGUUAUUUCUAUUUUUUGGUCCAGUUUGAUUGGAAUGAAUGUUAGUUUCCGAGCAAGCUCGGACAUAGUCCUUUUGCUUUGUUUUUUCCUGUGACAAGUGUGGAUCUGGCAGAUCUGAUGUUUUUGUUGUGGAUUUUGAUUUUACAGAUAAUCAAUGACCGUGAAACCGGUAGAUCUAGAGGAUUUGGCUUUGUUACCUUCGGUGAUGAGAAAUCCAUGAGGGACGCUAUCGAAGGGAUGAACGGCCAAGACCUUGACGGUCGUAACAUCACCGUUAACGAAGCUCAAUCACGCGGAAGCGGCGGCGGCGGCGGCGGCGGUGGUUUCCGCGGUGGACGUCGUGAAGGAGGCGGCGGAUACGGAGGUGGAGGAUAUGGAGGUGGAAGACGCGAGGGCGGCGGUGGUGGUUACGGCGGCGGCGGUUAUGGUGGUGGCCGUGACCGUGGAUAUGGCGGUGGUGACCGUGGAUACGGUGGUGAUGGCGGAUCACGCUACUCAAGGGGUGGUGGUGACUCUGAUGGAAACUGGAGGAAUUAGAUAAUUGAGAAGAUGUGGAUUUUAGUUAUUUUGAUCGCAUUUUAAGUUGGGUAUAUCUUAAUGUUAAGUGUGACUGUCUUUUUUGACCGUUAUUGGCUCGUUACUUUACUGUGUUUUUCUGUUUACAGAGUUCUUAUGGAAUGAAUUAAAUGAAGUCUACAAAUUAAAUCUUUCUUUUGCAUCUAAAUUUUUAACUAAGUUUGCUAUGCAAUUUUUCAAUGCUUACAGUGCUAUCUGCAUAUUUAUUGGUGGCUAUACACUUCUCUGUAUUCGUUCUUGUCAAAUUAAUUCUGUGUCUAUCCAUCGAGUGGUUUCAGAGUUAUAUUUACUUAAUUAAGCAAUGCUGGAACAAACUCAUUGUAUACAAUAAUCUGAAAUAGCUAAACUAGGCUGCUAGCAACUCCUGAUCUAUUGAACACGUCAUUCCUGAAUAUGUUUGUUUGUUACUAAAACAAGUGCCGGGAAUUAUUCAACAUUUCUAAAUUAAUUAAAAUCAAAAUGUUUAACUAUUUUUUGAUAAAUCAUGGAUGGAUUAUUCAUAAUAUUUUCAAUAAAAUGAAUUCUUGCAUCAUUUAAACCGUUGGAUAUUACCUGCGCGAUUCAUAAGGUAGGUAGCAAUGUGUCAUAGAUGAAUUUUGAAUUUACACUUCGUUUCCUCCGUUGUUCUUUGGUGAUUGUGUGGCAGUGAAUCUUUACGUCUUGUUAUCUUACGAUUCAUGGUUUCACUUUUUGUUAAAUGGCUGUUCACUAGAGUACUUUCUAAUUGUGCGUUUCCUAAGACGUGUUUCUGCCCAGUCGGUAGGCUUGAUGAGCAUUCUGUAGGUGGGGCAUCUCAGAUCUCUCGAUUGGAUGAUGUUGCUUUAUUGGUUUAAUUCUAAUUUUCAACAAUACUAUAUAAUUUGUGCCUUAUCGGAUUCCAUUGAUAAAAUACAGUUCUUGACUCGCUGAUUUCUCUUAAAGAAUUACAGCUCUUGAAUGAGAAAAUGAUGAAGGGGUUAACCUAAAUCCAGGGGUUAACCUAAAUCCAAGUCGUGCCAAUUCGUUUUCCCAUCCCCACCAACUAGACUGUUUCCUGGAUUCGCAAAUACUGUAAAGCACUUGAAUCAUGAAUUGGCCCAAAAAUCCUCUCAGUUCAUCAGUCACAAAAUCUCAUCAAGGCCCCAAUCUUGAAAUUGCAAUUGGACAAUGUAUCAGUGUAAUCACACUCAUUUUCCAAGAUAUACACUGAUAUAAAAGUUAUAUAAGAGAUCACGGUUAUACAUAGAAAAUAUACACUAACAUACAAGGGGUUAUACACUAAUAUAUUGAGGAUAUAUACGAAUAUACAUGGAAGAUGGAAUGUCUUCAAUAUCGAGUUUCCAAUAUGAAGAUUACUAAAAGUCAAUACUCUGUCUUAAAUCAUCUCCAAAGACAUUCAAAAUUUACAUUCAAGCACCUUAAGAUGUUUCCAAUAAAUCCCGAUAUCACACAAAUCACAACUGCCAAUAAAGCCCGAUAUUACACAAGUCACAACUGAAACAAAUCCCAACUGGAUAGAACUGAAAAAUUCAAACCAAACUUUUGUCUUUACCAAUUGGAAAUUUCCAGGUUACUAGGAGGUUGACUUGCAGCACAUUAUGAAUUUCAAUGGAUUAUGUUGAAAUUUCCAAUGUAAAAAUUUCGAACUCUUAACGUAUUAUGCUGAGUUACUUUUUUAUUUUAACUAAGAAUAUUUUUAUUCAAAUUUUAUUUUCGCAUGAAAAAUAAAUAACUAUUGAUUAAUUUUAGAACUAUGAUUAAUUCUCCAUUUAACAGUUAUAAAUCAGGCUAAUAAUUUCACAUUUAGUGCCAAUUAUCCUACUAAUUUCUUGAAGUUCAUAUACACGGGUUGAAAGUCCAAUCUUAUCCAAAAAGGCAUGUUAUUGAACCAUUCUACUAAGCAAAACACAAACUUAGCUGGUCGGUUGAAAUUAAUUGAAUUUGUUAGCUAAAUAAUAUAUAUUUUAUCAGCUAUUAUUUUUGGAAGCGACUAAAAAUGUACUCCAUCUGUUUCAAUUUAAAUAAUGUAGUUUGACUUGACACAAAGUUUAAGAAAAAGAAAGAAGACCGUUGAAAUAUGUGAUUCGUGGUAGCAAACUGAUUAAAAGAAAACAGUUAUCCACCCAUAUUAUCCACUAAAAAAUGAGUUGAAUAAUGAAUUUUUUAAAAACGGGUCAAAUAUAGAUAAGAACCAUAUAUCCAUUUAGAAAAUGGAUAACCAAUGGAUAACUAAUGUGUUUAACAUUUACAUUUUAAAGCCUCAAAUUGGGGAUUCCUCAAGUUUGAGAGACUAAAUAUUCUCCCAAAAGUGAUCAUAUUCAAGAGCUCAUAGAUAAUAUAAAUAUCCAUAUUAUCCGCUGGUUAAUCCGUUUUUUAUCCUUAUUAAAUAUAAGUUGGAUAAUUUAUCCGUUUUUGAUUUACCCGUUUUCGAUCCGACCCAUCCCACCCGACGCCUCCCUUUCCUACCCCUAUAUGUGAUCCUAACAGCUUAAAGGAUAAAGUUUUGUCGGGCCAUGAUAUUUGUGUGGCUAUAAAAAUUUCUCAUUCAAAGUAAAAUGGAAAAAAUAAAAAGUUUAAAAUUAAAUUAUUUUCAAAUAUAAAAAUAUAUCAUUAUUUUUUGAACGGACUAAUAAGGAAAAUGUGUCAUUUUAAAUUGAAAUAGAGGGAGUACAUUUCUCAUUUUAUUAUGCUAGGGGUUUUUCAUUUGUACAUAACCAAGCAACACAGAGAGCGGUGCAUAUAUUUAAAUAAUUUUAUCUUAUUUGAUACCUUUCUUUUAAACUUGAAUUGCUUUUUAUUUGAUUUGAUUUAAUUCCUUUGUCAGAUCAAUGCCUAAAUUUAUGACUUGUUUACAUAUAUGAUUUGUUUUAUCAAUGGCUGUUACUGAGAUUUCCAGAUAACAUUAGCAAACGUUUUGCAUAUUAAAGCUCAAUAAUAUAGUUGUAAAGAGAAUAUGCAUCUCCAGUCUCUUAUUCACAAGCCAUACGGCCAGAUACAAAUUGUAUCUACAACUCUUCACUAUGAAUUAUAUGUUUAGUAAUUAUUUCACUAAGAAAAUUUUCUAUCCCCCGUAAUGCUCACAGACUCGGUCAAUUUCAAUUAUAGUGUGACGAUCUGACUGGUCAUUUUGAGCAUUGACAUUUCGUUUGAUGGUUUGAGGUCUUGAGUAGCUUCAUAUGAUGUAUUACGACUAGCAUGCAUGAUUGGUUUUGAUUUUCAUGAAGUUCGGGAGUAAUUCUCAAUUUGGAAGCAUUAAGUUAAAGAGUUGGCUAAAGUUUGACUUUUGUGCAACUAAUGUCGGAAUGGUAUUUUGAUGGUUCCAAUAGUUCGUAUGGUAAUUUUGGACCUAGACGUAUGUCCGAAUUUGGAUUUGGAGCUUCCUAGGUUGAUUUGGCUCCAUUUGGGAAAAAAUGAAAAGUUAAAGGGUUGGAUGGUUCAUAAGUUUGACCGGGAGUUGACUGUGAGGCUAUCGGGGUCAUAGGAGGAGCAGAAGAGAUUGGAGAGGUUCAAGAAGUAUUUUCCUCCUACUUUAAGCAGCGCAACUUCUGAGGAUGCACAUAGUUUUCUAGAUCAGUGUUACCGCAUUCUACACACUAUGGGCAUUGUGGAAUUGUGCAGGGUGGCUCUUACUACUUUCUAGCUAACGGGGUCGACAUAUAGAUGGUCGCAGGUUUGUGAGGAGAGUAGGCCAGUUGGCGCAGCGCCAUUUACUUGGGUUUAGUUCACUGAGCUAUUUUUGAGGGAGUUUGUUCCACAGAUCCUCAAGGAUGCAUUGUGCACCGAAAUCGAGUAGUUGCACCAGGGGUCAAUGAUUGUGUCUGAGUAUGCUAUGUGGUUUGCAGAGCUAUAUUGUCAUACACCUGCAACCUUUUCCACUGUUAGAGAGAGGGUCCGCAGAUUUAUUGAGGGACUUGGUUAUGGUCUCAAACUUGGGAUGGCAUUGGAGUUGGAGACUAAUACUCCACUUCAUCAGGUUGUGGAGGUCACUAGGAGGAUGGAGCUCCUCCACGGUCUAGAGAGAGAGAGGAUAGGGAGGCUAAGAAGUCUCAUGGACCGGGAGGAUAUACUGAUCCCUAUUUUGGGGGCAGGCACAAUAUGGUAGAGGUUUUGUUGGUCAACCAGUUCAGUCCGUACUUUAGGUUUUACAUGGUUCUCAAAUUAUCCAUGGGUCCCAGUGCACUCGUUCAGGACAACUCCCACAGCCAUAUCAGCAGAGUGGUUGCUUUGAGUGUGGGGAUAUUAUGCACAUGGUGAGAGAUUGUCCCAGACUCCGGACAGGGGUACCUUAUCGGAGUACUCAAGCUAUGGUCCCACUUCAGUUGCUGCUACACCUGCACAACUAGCUAGAGAUGUGUGGUAGGCAAAUAGAGGGCGUCAUAGAGGGGGAGGCCAGACUCGUUGUUAUACUUUCCCUGGCAGGGAUGAGGCUGCUGCACCAGAUGAUGUUGCUAAAGUUAUGGUUCCGGUUUGUCAUAGAGAUGCAUCAGUUUUAUUUAAUUCGGUGUCGUACUAUUCUGCUCCAUGUUUGGAUAUACCUCGUAUUUCUUGAGUAUCCUAUGUUUAUGUGUCUACUUCCGUUGUGGGAUUCUAUUGUGGUAUCCCGUGUCUAUAGUUCUUGUUUGGUCACUAUUGGGGGUUUUGAGACUAGUAUUGACCCACUAUUAUGCAAAAUAGUGGGUUUUGGAUGUGAGUUGGGAUGGGUUGGUCACGACUUACGGUUAAGGUGCUCUACAUGCACGAGGAAUCUGUUGCGUGUUGUGGUUUUAUUCUACGAGAUAGAGUUAGUGAAAGGUUUUUUGUUGAUCGGAUGUUUAUCUUACUUGUGAUUCGAGUUGAGGAUAGGAUCUUUGUAUUUUCAGAUGGAUCGAUAUGUUUGGACCGGGCGACGUGCCGUUGUGGGGUUAUGUUAUGAUGAGAUUCGUUGUGGUUGUUGCAUAUGUUUUUCUUCUUCCUUGUGGUAUGGAUUCAUAGUAUGGUACUGAUAGGGAGUUGUACCUAUUGGACUUGUUGGAUAGUUCUCUCAUGUGUUUUUUUUUCCAUCUUCAGUUAUAUUCGAAUUGUGCUUGUUGGGUACGAAUGACGACGUAUGUGUCUAGGUGGGGUUUGGUAUUUCCUAUUUGUCGGGUGAGUGGUUAUGAGUUUUCACGUGUUUCUUACAUCAUUAUUAGUGUUGUGAAGGUUUAGAACAAGGUCUCAUUUGAUAUGAAGCUAUUAUCGGUACCAGGUUUGAUAAUAGGCAGGUAUUCUGGUCAGAGAUGUUUCUAUGGGCUUAUGAGCGACGAGUUAUAUCAUAUGGUUACACCUUGUGGAUGUAUUCAAGAUCCGUUGCAGCUAGUUAGGGUCGUCACAGUAUGUAGAUAUGAAAAUUGGGUUUUAAGAGGAGGCCUGUGUGAUGAGAUUAGUUCGAAGGUUUAUCGGUUAAAGUUGAAGGGUGACCUUUGGUUGAAAUUGCAUUGGCAGGCUUAUAUGAAUUGACGUGAUGAGGGAUAACCAUGGGUACAUGUAUGGUGAGAUUAUACAGUGAUUCGACGACUUUAGAGCGACUCUUGCCAUGUUCGAGGGCGAACUCUUGUUUAAGAGGGGAAAAAUCUAACGACCCGAAUGAUUUUUUUUGAGCUUUAACAUUCCGUUAAAUGGUUUAAGAUCUUGAGUAUAUUCAUAUAAUGUAUUAUUACUUGCGUGUAUGGUUGACUUUGGUUUUCAAGCGAUUCAGAAUUGAUUUGGAAGAAUGAUUCUUGUUUUAGAAGUUUUAAGUUGGAAGAGUUAAUCAAGUUUGACUUUUUGUGCAUUUGAUCUUGGAUCGGAGUUUUGACUAUUUUGUUAAGUUCGGAUGGUGAUUUUGGACUUAGGCAUGUGCUCGGGAUUGGAUUCGGAGGUUUCUAGGUUGAUUUGGCACUUUUUGGUGAAAGUUGGCAAUUUAAAGGUUUAAAAUUUUCUUUAGUUUGACCAUAGUUUGACUUUAUAGCUAUACGGUUCGGAUUUUUGUUUCGGGACUUGGAAUAAGUUUGUUUUGUCAUUUGUGACUUGUUUGAAAAUUUGACAUCAUUUCGAGUUAGUUUAAUAAGAAUCAGACACUUGGUUGUAUUUUUUGAAGUUCUUUAGUUUCAUGGCGAUUUAUAUGCAUUUGGGGCGAUUUAGGCCUCAAGUAGGUUUGUUUUAUGUUUUGGAAUUGGUUGGUGUGAUGAGACAGGAUCCCGAGGGCCUCAGGUGUGUUUUAGAUUAAUUUAAGACCAUUUUGAGACUUAGUUACAUAGUUGAAGGUCUCUGGUUACUGGUGCUUUCUCACCUGCAAAGGGAUAACCACACGUGUGGGUCCGGAAAUACAGACAUGGAGCAGCAGAUGCGAAGCUGGGCAUCUUAGGUUAAGUACAAUUAUGCAGACAUAUGACCGCAGAUGCGGUGUUAGUUGGGCUCGGGGGUUUUUGCAGAUGCGUACGACAUGCACAGAAGAGAGAAUGCACCUGCGAUGGAGGACCGCAAAAGUGGGCCCAUGUAACAAUCCGGCUAGUUGUUUUGAGCACUAACGUAUCGUUUGGUGGUUUGAGGCCAUGAUUUGCUUUACUUCAGGUAUUAUGACUUGUACGCGUGGUCGGAAUUGAAAUUCGGAAAGUUCGGAGUGGAUUUGGAAAGAGAAUUCUUAUUUCAGAAGCUUUAAGCUGGAAGAAUCUGACUAAGAGUUGAUUUUGAGUAAACGACCUCGGAAUCAGGAUUUGAAGGUUCCAAUAGGUUCGUAUGAUGAUUUUGGAUUUGGGCGUAUGUCCGGAUCGGGUUUUGGAUGGCCCGGGAGCGUUUCGACGCCUAUUGUGGAAGAUUGACAUUUUGAAAGAAUUUCAUAAAUUUGGGUUGAAGUGAAUUUCAAUAUUAUCGAUAUCAGUUUGGGAUUCUGAGUAUGGGAAUAGUUUUGUAUGGUAAUUCUGGUAUUGGGAGCGCAUCCAGAAGUAGAUUUGGAGGCCCGUAGGUCAUUUUGGGGUCAUUUGGCAAAAGUUAGAAAUUUGAAGGUUUUUGAGAAAUAUGAUCGAAAGUGAACCUUUUAAUAUCAGGGUCGGAUUUCGAUUCUGGAAGUUGGAGUAGGUCCGUAAUAUCGAAUGUGACGUUUGUGCAAAAUUUUAGGUCAAUUGAACGUGAUUUGAUAGGUUUCGAUAUCGAAUGCAGAAGUUUGAAGUUCUAAAGUUCAUUAAGCUUGAAUUGGGGUGCAAUUCAUGAUUUUGUCGUUGUUUGAUGUGAUUUGAGACCUCGAGCGAGUUCGUAUUAUGUUUUGGGACAUGUUUGUACAAUUGGUUAAGGUCCCAAGAGACUCGGGUGAAUUUCGAAAGGUUAACAUAAUGGAUUUCGGACAAAGGGAGAUGCUAGAAUUUUCUGUUGAAGAAGCUGUUCGCCAGAAAUUUCUGAUUUAUGGAGCCGACAUUGGAAGCUUAUAUCUUGCAAUCUAUAAGGAAUCUAAAAUUAUAAAAAUAUGAAAGUUGUAGCCCUUUGAUUCUAGUUUCCAGAAAGUUAAACCAUUCAUCAUUUGGACAUUUAUACAGAAAGUUAUGAUCGAUUUAAUGAAGGCUGGUAAAGCGGUUUUUGGCUUGAAAAUUUUGAGACAAGUCGCAUCUCACAUAUGCGACUUACCUGGACAAAAUAUAUAUGUCCGGAGUCCAACAUUUUUGUUCAUUUGAGAGUUUUAGAUCUCGAUUUUGGGCGAUUCCAGAAGCAUUUUUCACGAGUUUGAGUUGGGUAAGUAUUCUUUAUCCCAAAUUGAUUAUAUUUCAUGAUUCCAUUCACAUUUACAUCAUGAAUCCAUGAAUUUAUGAAAGAAAAAUAAGCUUUUUAUCAAAUAUUCCAAAAACAAAAAUUUAGGAUUUGAAAGCCAAUCCGAUGUCAGAGAAUUCGAUAAUUUUUGUAUAGUUGAACUCGUAUCAGAACAGGUGUUCGAAUUUUGUGAGUUUUACGAGAUUCGAGAUGUGGGUCCCACUUUUAAUUUUUUUUAAUGAAUUUCGGAUUUUAAUCCGAAAAAUUAGUAAAUUCAUAUGGAAUUAAAUCCUAUGAUUUGUAUUGAAUAUAUCGACUUGUUUAUGACUAGAGUUGAGUCUUUCAGACACGAAUUCACGAAGAAAAGAUUUAUUGGAAUCUUGAAUUUGGUUGCGAAGUGAGGUAAGUCUUUUUUCUAACCUUGUGAGAAGGAAUUAACCCCAUAGGUGAGCUAAAUUAAUCUAUGCUUCUAUUUGUGGGGGCUACGUAGGCACAAGGUGACGAGAGUUCGCAUGUAGCUACUAGUUAUGCCUGUGUCCGGGUAGUUUUAGGUUUACACCAUGCCUUGUUGAUAUUGUUAUUUGACCUAUGUUUAUUGUUUGCCUUGAGAAGAAGCGAGACUGAGUUUGCUUACUAAUUGCCUUGAAAAGAGUAGGAAUGGAGGAAUUUGAGAUUUUAAAAGCUUUUAUUUGAAUUUCGUCUUUUUUGAAAAGGAUUGAAAAAUAUUAUAAUAACUUGAGAAAAUCUAUGUUCAACCGUGCUGCAACUAUAUUCCCCGAGCGGGGUAAAUUUUCACUACUCUUAUCGGAGCUUGUUGUUCGCCUCGACAGGUUACAUAAAUGCAUCUAUGGUUUGUGCCGUUCGAAGUGCACAAUUUAUAUUAUAUGUUAGUUCGUGUCAUUCGACCCUCGGUAGUGCAAAAUUUAAAUACUAAUAUUGGAUCGGGCCGUACGACUGCGGCAUGAUUGAAUUGGUUGCUUGGAAAUUAAUAAUAAUUGAUAUUGCUUCAUUUGCAUGAGAUAUAAAUUGUUAAAUGAUGAAAAAUAAAUUUGAAAAUUUCUUAUUAAUAAAAGAAUUGUUUACUUGCUUCAUGAUAUUGAGCUUACAGUCGUUCUAUGUAAUCCAUGCUUAAUUAUAUCAUUGGUAUUAUAUUUAUAGCCCAUAUUAAGUGUCAGAGUUGACCCCUCAUCACUACUUCUUCGAGGUUAGACUGGAUACUUACUGGGUACGCGUUGAUUUAUGUACUCAUAAUACACUUGCUGCACAUUUUGUUGUGUAUGCACAUAUAUGUUUAGUGGCCUUGUGGGCGCAGAGGCAUGGUUAAUCUGGGGACUUAAGUGAGCUGCAUUUCAUGUUACGAUCCGCAGUCAACAGAGUCUCCUUUAGAGUUAUCUUUGUCUUUCCUGUCUAAUUUGUAUUCCAGACAGAUGAUGUAUUUUAUUCUAUCUUUCUAGUUGAUGCUCAUGCACUUGUGGCACCGGGUUUUGGGGUAAUUAGGGGUUGUUCAGUAUUGAAAUUGUUAAAAUAUUAUUAUUUACUCUGUAAAUUUUAUAUUUUACUAUUAAAUUGAAGGAAAUCGAGAUUUCAAAUACUUAAGUGAAUAAUUAAGUUAUUCGAAAAUUGUCGGCUUGCUUGACAGCGGUGUUAGGCGCCAUCACGACCUUUAGUAGAUUUUGGGUCGUGGCAAUAUGUUAUCAGAGCAUUAAGUUCACUUCGGUCUCACGAGUCAUGGGCAAGUUUAGUAGAGUUUUGCGGAUCGAUACGGAGACGUCUGUACUUAUCUUCGAGAGGCUACAAGGCUAUUAGGAGCACUUCCCUUCUUGAUUCCUCAUCGUGCGAUUUGAUUCUUUUGAGGCUUAUGAUUUCAUUUCCUUCCUAUUCAAUUAUACGGGGCGUGAAAAACUCGUUCUAAAUUGGGAAUCGAUGAAUUUAAAUGUAUUACAAAUGUGGUGCAGGAUGUUUCUCCCUAUGUAUUUGCUUUGGGCUAUUAUCGUCGCCUUGUGGAAGGUCGUUCUGUCGUUUCAGAUCAGUAUCGGUAUUAUCUAAGGUUUUGAGAUUUGGCAUUGAUUGUUAUGAUGAUUCGUGCAUUGCUAUCACAUAGUGUUUGUGUGAUGGUAUGAUGCUUGUCUAUGCGUCGAGGCAGUAAAUGACUUGAAAGGAGGUUUACUCAGUGCAUGAUUCAGAGAUUCAGUAUUUUAUUUCCGACGGAGGAAAAACAAUCAGACUAUAAAUAUUCAGGUUUGGGUUGAUGGAGUAACGAGACCUGGUACUUUUGAGCGUGGUGGAAUUUUCAUCUGUGAUGUGGUGUCAUCGUCCUUAUUGAACGCGUUAAGGUUCGCCGGUGUCAUGGUAUUCAUCAAUUUGCCUUCGGGGCAUAGUAGUGUGAGAUGGUGCCAGAAAAGCGGUUGUCAGAGAUAGCAGAGUGUAGCAAUUUCGGAAUUUAAAUAGGUAUUUCUAAUAUUGAUGGCUCAAGAAAGAUGAUCUUCGGAGGGGUUUAAAGUUGGUAGUGAUCUAUUGGUUUAAGUGCUACAGAGAUAGAUUUUGAUUUAAGUAACAACUGGGUAGAGAAAGAUGAGGAAGGACAUAUAGGAGGUGUCUUGCGGUGGAUAAACUUCUAGAAGGCCAAGUGUGAGAAACAUGAGUCGAGUAGUUGCUUAAAGGAGUGAGUUUGACCAUAGUGGGAGAGUGGCAGAGUAGCAUAUGGGUUCUGUGAUAGGAUGACUACAUGCCUUGAGAAAAGUUUAGAGUGAUUUGGGAUUCACGGUGGAUGGUGACAAGGUCUAGGGACUAAUUUGGAAUAUUAACUACUAUAUUGAGGAUGAUUGGAUGUGACAGGAAGGAGUUGCUUAAUAUGAAGAGGGAUGCAACAUGACUUUGGAGUGGAAUGUAUCGUCGCACCUUUAGUUGAUGUCAAUGGGGAGUAGACGGACUUGUACAACUAUGAAUGAGCAUGGGAUCAGGGUGGUUUAUUGGUUUAGUAGUAAUAAUACUUGGUGCAGCAUUGUUGGAAGAUGUCGGCAUAGAAUUUCCACAGGUAGGAAGAUGUCGGCAUAGAAUUUCCACAGGUAGGUUACCUCUUGUGAGCAGGUUAACAGUUGCGUGGUGUUGAUGAAGCUUCUGCAAAUAAUUUGACUAGCUAUCCAGUAAGAGGUCGAACAUAUGAAUAUGGCUAGUGAUUCAGAGCGUUCAUAAAAUGGCUAACAGUGAGAUUUUGAGGAAUUUGGCUUGUCAUUUGCGUGAGGUCAUGUCAUUGAGGAAGAAGGAAUCUUUGAAGGUUUCACGGUUAUAUAAUGGUCGCUUCAAGCUAAGUGGGAGAGCCCCACCGCCAACGAUUGGAUUGCAUGGUUGUCUACUUGUGAAGUUUCUGGUUAUCAGCAUAUUGAUGGGUUAUUAGGACUAAGUAAAGAGAACAUCAGUGGUAAUUUGAGCAAAUGAUUUGAGGAAUGUGUUCUAUAAUUGGCCUUAUCGAUUCAUGUUUAGGGUUUGGGAAGACUUAGGAUUUAUGUUUCGUGUAGAGGUGAGUUACAAGGAAGGUAAUUCAGCCGUGCUUCUUUGAAAGGGUGUGCAUGUGCUACCAGAGCCUUGGAGUUGAUUAUAUUUUGGACCAAGCUAGAGUGGGUGACUCACAACAACGAUCCUAGUGGAUUCAAAGGUUAAAGUGCGGUGCGUGCGAAUUUCAGUCUAUAGUUUGGUUAAGUAUCGAGCUUUUGCAGCAGAUUGUGAAAAUGGGGCUUGGAGUGUUUUAUGUUAUCUUCGGUCUACGGUGUAGCAUUGGAGGAAUGAGAUAAAAUAACUUUAUAUUGAUGGAGAAAUUAUCAGGAUGGGUGUACUAGUUGAAGAUGCGAAUAUGCGCUCAAGGAGGGUAUGAGAUGGUUCGUGGGUUUGAGACAACGUGGUCUCGUGAAAUAAGGUCACUCGGGAUGAGUGCGGAUUUGGAUUCGUUAUGUUUUGAAUGGAACUAUUAUUAUUCCUAAGGCAAGUCCAAAGUAAAUUAGAAGAAGCCGGAUCGGUUAGCAAUGGUUAAAUUGGCAUGAUGGCGGCAAUGAUCAAUUCCUUUAGCGUGUUAAGAUAUACAUGUGCUUUGUGGAGGUACGUGCGAGACUUGGUGGCCACCGUAAUUGAUUUGAUUUGGAAGCAUUUGAGUGCUAUGGACUAUUAUGUAUAGAUAGAUCCCAGAAGAGUUAUGGUGGUUUAGACCACUACUUGAGGUUGGUAUUUUCUACGGUUAUGAGAAUUCAGUCGCGUGUUGCAAUGGUUCUCCAGAAAUGAAUUAAGUGAAAGGUUUAUAUAUGAUGAAGUGUGUACCCUAUUAGUGGUUCAAGAGUUAUGAUAAAAUUCUUGUACUCUUGCGUAUUGGCAUGAUUAGGUGCAGCGGGUAGCAUGGGAAUUGGAAGUUGAGGAUAAAGGUUGCGGUUCAGUGUUGACAAGAAUGUCACAAGCUCGGAUGAGCGAGAAAGGACUCAGAUGGUUAGAGUAAGUCGGUAUUGUCUUUAGAGUCAGCUGAUAUCGGUGUCAUGUGUAAGAGGCCUUGUGUACGGAUUUGCAUGUCCUUGAUUCGUUUUACAGCAUUAGUAUGGCCGGUGGUAUGGAUGUGCAUACUUGUUACCUAAUGAGGAAGAUCAUCGGAGCGUAUCCCAUAGGAAGAUUGUAUAAGUGUGACAUGUAGUCACUUGAUUGAUUGAAGAUUGGAAUCAAGUAUGGAGAUUGUGGUACUACCGCUAAUGUGAGAGUUUAGGCCUGGAAGGCAUUCUAUUCAUUUGGUUGUGAACUGAGGAUAUUUGUUCCGACUUUGAUGGUUGUUCCUAUGUGUCAUGGGAAAAAGGUUAUCGUGGAUCCUUGAAAGGUUAUUAGCCUAGUGCGGUAUGGUCAAAAUCGGCUUGAGGUCCGUGGAUGGAUCUAAAUGUGAAUAUGGGCUCUAUAUCAGGUCGGAUGUGUUCAUUUCAGCAUAGCGUUGUUCACGGAGGAGUCUUCAGGCCUUGGAUGUUACUUCUAUCAUCAGCUAUUUUAUGUAAUACUCUAUUGUGUCGUGUGGGUUGUGAGGUGAUUUGAUUAUUCGCACUCGUAUCGAGAUCCCAUGUAGUUUAUGGUUCUAUAUGAGCAGGAUGGCUCUCGAGAUACUGGUCAUUUAUUGCACCUUAGUUGUGCUUGAGUUUCGUAGCUUAUAACGCUAUCCGUCUCCCCAGGAUUUGCAUUAUGCGUUUUGCCUGCUUGUGGUUGAUAUUCGGGUAUUUCGCAGGUAUGAACAUUUUAGCUUGGUAAGUAUUUCCUUAUAUAUUAUUAUGUGUGGAUUAGGUGGCAUGCUGCCAUGGGUAUGUUGUUUGGAUCGGGUGGCACGCCGCCACAGGUAAUAUGGUUGGAUCGGGUUGCACGCCGCAACAAUAUCAUGUGUGGAUCGGGUUGCACGCCACAACAGUAUGAUGUUGAGUAUCGUUUCCCAUAUCUACUAUUGUGUGUUUUGCUUCUCAUUUUCUGAGGAAGGUUCAUAACAUCUUUUCGGUCAUUUAAAUUAGUUAUGUGGGUUGAGCAAUUUUUUCCAGAGUUCGUUUCCUUAUGUAUCACAUUCGAGUUUGUAGCUGGUUGGCACAUUGUGGCAUCAUAUGAGACUUUUGGCAGUGUUUGAGAUGGCUUAUUACCUGAGUAGCUUGUAUUGGGUGAGAUGAGAUUAUUGGACCUGGGAUCAGUGCGAUCAGAUUUGUAUGAGGCACAUGAAAGAUUAAAUAUCGAUUUUAGUCUAGAAUGAGGUAAUGGUUCUUGUCGGGAGGAGAGACUCCAUGAAUUGUGAUUCGGCGGGUGGUUAUGAGUUUCAACACAACUCUUCUGUUAUUGCAGUAUUGCGGGAGUUAAAACGGGGCUUAUAUGCUUCAUGAGGUUUGUUGUGGGCAUCAGAUUUGUGGGAUUUCGACUAUUGUUGUCAGAGGAUGUUAAUAUGGUCAUGUGAAUAAUGUGGUGCAUGGUGUGAAUUCGGUAAGAGUAUACAAUCAUGUAUUGGUACCUUGUGUAAUGAUUGGUACAGUGUUUGUAAGUUGGGAACAUACCUGGUAGAGAAUUUCAGAUGUUGGAAUUUGGCUCCAAGGCUAACUUGACUAAAUAAAAGGGAGAAUCUUCAGAUUUGCUCGAGCUAAUGUGCUCAACUGGGUUAUGGUAGCACAGGUAGGUGCACGAGGUGUUAAACAGUGAUUUCAGACAACUCCAGAGCAGUUCUUAGCACGUUCGAGGACGAACAUAUGUUUAAGUGGGAGAGAAUAUAAUGACCCGACCGAUCAUUUUGAGAUCUAACGCGUCGUUUGGCAGUUUGAGGCUAUGAGCAGCUUCACUUUAGAUAUUAUGACUUGUACACGUGCUUGGAAUUGAAAUUCGGGAAGUUCGGAGUUGAUUUGGAAAGAGAAUUCUCAUUUCGGAAGCUUUAAGUUAGAAGAAUCUGACUAAGGGUUAAUUUUGAGUAAACGACCUCGGAAUCAGGAUUUGAAGGUUCCAAUAGUAUUGUAUGAUGAUUUUGGACUUGGGAAUAUGUCCAGAUCGAGUUUUGGAUGGCCCAGGAGAUUUUCAGUGCAUAUUGUGGAAGGUUGGCAUUUUGAAAUAAUUUCAUAAAUUUGGGUUGAAGUGUAUUUCAAUGUUAUCGAUGUCCGUUUGAGAUUUCGAGUCUGGGAAUAGAUCCACAUGGUGAUACUAGUAUUGGGAGCGUAUCCGUAAGUGGAUUUGGAGGCUCGUAGGUCAUUUUGGGGUCAUUUGGCAAAAGUUAGAAAUUUGAAGGUUUUAUGAGAAGUUUGACUGGAAGUGGACUUUUUGAUAUCGGGGUCAGAUUCCGAUUUCAGAAGUUGGAGUAGGUCUGUAAUAUCGAAUGUGACAUUUCUGCCAAAUUUUAGGUCAAUAGGACGUGAUUUGAUAGGUUUCGGCAUCGAAUGUAGAAGUUUGAAGUUCUAAAGUUCAUUUAGCUUGAAUUGGGAUGAGAUUCAUGAUUUCGACAUUGUUUGAUGUGAUUUGAGGCCUCGAACAAGUUCGUAUCAAAUUUUGGGAUAUGUUGGUAUAAACUGAUUAAGGUCCCGAGGGCCUCGGGUAAAUUUCGGAAGGUUAACGGAAGGGAUUUCGGACAAAGAGAGCUGCUGGAAUUUUCUAUUGCAGAAGUUGUUUGCCAGAAAUUUCUGAUGCAUGGAGCCAAAUUUGAAAGCUUAUAUCUCGGAAUCUAUAAGGAAUUUGAAAGUUAUCAAAACAUGAAAGUUGUAGCCUUUUAAUUCUACUUUCCAGAAAGUUAAACCAUUCAUCAUUUGGACAUUUGUACAGAAAGUUAUGAUCAAUUGAAUAAAGGUUGGUAAAGUAGUUUUUGGCUUGAAAAUUUUGAGACAAGUCGCAUCUCACAUAUGCAACUUACCUGGAUAGAAUAUAUAUGUUCGAAGUCCGAUAUUUUUGCUCAUUUUUAGAGUUUUAGACCUCGGUUUUGGGCGAUUUCAGAGGCAUUUUUCACGAGUUUGAGUUGGGUAAGUAUUCUUUAUCCGAAAUUAAUUAUAUGUCAUAAUUCCAUACUCAUUUACAUCAUGAAUCCAUGAAUUUAUGGAAGAAAAAUCAGUUUUUUUUAUCAAAUCUUCCAAAAACAAAAAUUUAAGAUUUGAAAGCCAAUCCGAUGUCGGAAUUCGAUAAUUUUUAUAUGGUUGAACUCAUAUCGGAACGGGUGUUCGAAUUUCGUGAGGUUUUUUCGGGAUUUGAGACGUGGACCCCACUAUCAAUUAUUUUUUUAAUGAAUUUCAAAUUUUAAUCCGAAAAAUUAGUAAAUUCAUAUGAUUUGUAUUGAAUACAUCGAAUUAUUUAUGACUAGAUUUGGGGCUUUCGGACACGAAUUCGGGAAGCAAAGGUUUAUUGGAAUCUUGAAUUUGGUUGCGGAGCGAGGUAAGUCUCUUUUCUAACCUUGUAAGAGGGAAUUUACCCAUAUGUGAACUAAAUUAAUAUAUGCUUCUAUUUGUGGGGGCUUCGUACGCACGAGUUGACGAGAGUCCGUACGUAGCUAUUAGCUAUGCCUAUAUCCGGGUAGUUUUAGAUUUACACCAUGCCUUGUAGAUAUUUUAAUUUGACCUAUAUUUAUUAUUUGCCUUGAGAAGAAGCAAGAUUGAGUUUGCUUAUUAAUUGCCUUGAAAAGAUUAAGAAUGGAGGAAUUUGAGAUUUAAAAAGCUUUCAUUUGAAUUUUGAAUUUUUUUUUAAAAAAAAUGAGAAAUAUUAUAAUAACUUGAGAAAAUCUAUGUUCAAUCGCGUCGCAACUAUAUUCCGCGAGCGGGGUAAAUUUUCACUACUCUCAUGAGAGCGGGCUGUUUACCUCGGCAGGUUAAAUAGACGCAUCUAUGGUUCGUGCCGUUCGACCCUCGGUAGUGCACAGUUUAUAUUUAUAUGCUGGUUCGUGCCGUUCGACCCUCGGUAGUGCACAAUUUAAAUAUUUAUGUUGGAUCGGGCCGUACGACCUCGACAUGAUUUGCGCAUGAUUGAAUUGAUUGCUUGGGAAUUUAUAAUAGUUGAUAUUGCUUCAUUGGCCUCAGAUAUAAAUUGUUAAAUGAUGAAAAAUAAAUUUGAAAAUUUCUUAUUAAUAAAAGAAUCGUUUACUUACUUAAUGAUAUUGAGCUUACAGCCAUUCUAUGUAAUCCAUGCUUAAUUAUAUCAUUGGUAUUUUAUUUAUAUCCCAUAGUAAGUAUCGGAGUCGAUCCCUCAUCACUACUUCUUCGAAGUUAGACUGGAUACAUACUAGGUACACGUUGAUUUAGGUACUCAUAUUACACUUGCUGCACAUUUUGUUAUGCAUGCACAUAUAUGUUUAGUGGUCUUGUGGGCAGAGGCAUGGUUAAUGUGCGGACUUAGGUGAGCUGCAUUCCAUGUUACGAUCCGCAGUCAGCAGAGUCUCCUUCAGAAUUAUCUUUAUCUUUCCUGUCUAAUUUGCAUUCCAGACAGAUGCUGUAUUUUAUUUUAUCUUUCUAGUUGAUGCUCAUGCGCUUGUGACACCGGGUUUUGGGGUGAUUAGGGGUUGUUCAGUAUUGAAAUUGUUAAAAUAUUAUUAUCUACUCUGUAAAUUCCAUAGUUUACUAUUAAAUUGAAGGAAAUCAAAAUUUCAAAUACUAAAGUGAAUAAUUAAGUUAAUAAAAAAUUGUUGGCUUGCCUGACAGUGGUGUUAAGCGCCAUCACGACUUUUAAUGGAUUUUGGGUCGUGACAGUCCUCAUGUGUGAGGGUAAGACCGCAGAAGUGGAAGGCCGGGUGUUGAAAGGGAAUAGCAGAUGUGAUGUUUUGAACACAGAAGCGGCACCGCAUAUGCGGUUCAAUGACCGUAGAUGCGGAAUUAGUAGGCAGACUUUAUAAUUUCAAGGGUUUGACAUUUUUUAUUUUUUUGGAGUUGUGGAGCUCGGUUGGAGGAGAUUUUUAACUAUAAUUGAAGAGGUAAGUGAGAUUUAUUUAAUUUUGAUGAUAGAUAUUGAUUGCCCAAGGAUUAUUACACCUAGUUUAUGUAAAUUUAAGGUGAAAUUAGGGGAUUCUUUACUAUGGUUUUGGAGAGUGAAAAUUUAUGAUUUGAAGGUCGAUUUGAGGUCGAAAUUGGAUGAAUUGGUAUGGUUGGACUGGAAUUUGAAUGAGUGUUCGGAAUUUGUGAGUUUGGUCAGGUUUCGGGGUGCUAACUCGGGGUUAACUUUGCAUAAUUGAACUGCACUUCAGGUUUCACGUGCUUCUGUGACCAUGAAUAAAAAUCCAACCAGCCGCUUAUGCGACCACAUUUCUGCUUCUACGAAACUGCUUCCGCGAACAACAAUGUGCACAUGCGCUCACGCUUCUGCGCAAGCUUAGCCGCAUUUUCUAAAACCCCUAAUUCUGGCCAAAUUCGCAUCUGCGUCCCCAGGUCUGCUUCUGCGGACUCGCACCUGUGGACAAAACCUCGCAGGUGCGAAAAAUACUAGAAUAAAAUGUCACGACCCAAACUAGAGGGCCAUGACUGGCACCCGGGCCAUACCUGCCGAGCACCAAUGUACAUUUUAUCUAACCUUUCUUAUUAUCCAUAAGGGCCGAUAAGAUCAACGUAAAUAGUAGACAAGAAUCCAAAAUAAACAACAAUAAUAGAUAAUUUCAUGAACAUAUAUAACAUGGGAUGGCAAGGUUGGCAUGAAGUUAUAUAUAAGGUAGGAGCCGACAAGGUGCCAUGAGAGACUAUACAGUAAAAAUCAGCCGACAAGGCUAUCCAAACUAUACAGGAGUCGACACCUAUCUAUAAGCCUCUAAAGGAAUAUAAGUGCUGCAGCAUUACCAAAAUAGAGCCCCGACAUACCCAUAAUGUCUAUAACAAAAAUGUAUACCAAGACCACUGCAAGUCCAGAGAAGUGAUCUCGCCAGUAACCGCUAAACUGAGCAGCCUACUGUGGUGGGGGAGCUUCAUCUACCUGUCUAUCAAGACUUGCAGCAUGACAUGAAACGUCCACAAAUAAAAGGGACGUUAGUAUGAAUAAAGUACUGACUAUGUAAGGCAGGAAAGCAUAAUAAGAACAGUAAUAUAAGCAGGGAUAGAGAAUAUACAACCUGUAACAUCUAAGUUUCUUUGAGGGCGACUGACAUGAAAUGCAUAUAUAUAUAUAUACACACACACUUUUAAAAACAUACGCCUCUGUGGGCAUCAUCAUCAUCAUAUCAUACCCGACCAUCAUAAGGCUCGGUAGAAUCGUACCCGGCCACAUGGAGCUCGGUAAAACCCAACUGAUCAGUGGUUGCAUAAUAGGUGCCAUACCGGAUCGACUAUAGCGCGGCUCAGUAGAGUAUAAUAGGUACAUAUAUAUAAUGCAUGAUGGACUCAUUUGAAUCACAUUCUGAACCUUUCGGAGUCACGUAAGGUUAGUAACCUCUGUAUAGGUUAUUAGGACUAACUCUUCAUCAUGAAUCUAAUAAGAAUCAGGAAGUACCAAAAAGAUUGAUAACAUAAGACUAAGAGAAGCAACAUCAACAUCAAUCGUUCCAUAAGAAGGGAAACAAUUUAAGUAUUGCUAGCUUCUAAAAGUGGAGUAUCUUUGGAAGCUCGUUCUUUACAUUAUGUACAAUCAGAAUUGUGCAAAAGAAGAAAAAAGAUAGCCUUAUUUACCUUGUAUAUACUCCCCAACCUCAAGCCAUGCAAAUGUCAUGACUCCUUAGUCUACAAUAAGAGAAAUGAUACUAUCGUUAUCGUUUAAGCGUCACAACUAUUAUAUAUCGUCCACUACCUAUUUUACGAUGAAAAGGACAGAACGUACCCUAUUUAUAUGAUGUCCCACAAGUUAAAACAAUCGCCAAAAAUCCAAACAGCAUAAAUAAUAAUUAUAUUAAGCCUCCCAAAAUAGACCACCAACAGAUAUAACAACUCCAAUUUAACCUUACUUCACCAUGAAAUAUCCUUCCAAUGCUACCACAAGAACAAGGAAGCAAAAAUGGCAAUCAAUUCUAAUUUUUGGGUACUGGAAUCGCUUUGGAAGACUUGAAAUCACUUAGGGUUGAUAUUAGAAACUUGAGAGAGUAUUUUACAUAACUUAAAUCACUUAAAACAACCUCCCACAUGAGCCAGAACCAUACAAAAAUGAGCAACAACAAGAAGAACAAGAAACUCACUCGCGCCACGGGAUUCUCGACACUUGAUUUGUGUUGUUUGCCCUUUGUUUAGGUCUUGGAUUAUGAAAUAACCUUGAAAGAAAGUUUUUAGGUGUCUAUGGUCUGAAUAGAGUCAAAAAUAAUAAGUUAAAACAGGCUUAAGGCAUCUCAUAUAUAUCAAUAAAUCUCAACUGCUUAAGUGGGUCCCAUAGAAAGCUGCUUGUGUAGCCUCACGAAAAUGCGAAUAUCUCUCUACUUAGAUAUCUUAUAGCUAAAAGCUUUAAUGUGUUGGAAACGAGACUCAUAGAUCUUCAAUUUGGUGGGUGGAUCACCCUAUAAUUCCAAGUACAUUGAGAGAAAAGCCUAGUAAUAUUAUACCUAAAUUUUAAGUAAAAUUAUGAACCUAAGUUGCGACAACUUUCAUCGACUUUUGUUUCAUAACUUGCUUGACUUCAAGACAUAUGAUACGGAUAUUAUAUGAUUCAAAUACCGUAAAACACGAUCUCCUUAGAAUAUUAAUAACCCCUAGUUUUACCCGAAAAUACGGGUUACAACAUCCUCGAUUCGUUUUACUUCUAACUUCUAAUAUUUGUUAACUACUAUUAUACACCCUUGUAUCAUUUAAGACCAAUAGGAUUAACUUCUUAUAAUCUCAAAGAUAAUAUCUUCUCGAAUUUACAUCGACUAACUUACGGCAUGAUUUAGCGUACACAAAUAUGGGUUGUAACACAGAAAUGCCUGCAUAAACACCAUACAAUCCGAAAUUAAUUCGAAACAUAGCCGAGGACCCCGGGACCCCGUCUAACCACCCUAAUCAGUCCCAAAACAUACCACGUACUUGCUUGAAGUCCCAAAAUACACAAAAUAACAUCAAAACUAUGAAUCGAACCUCAAUUCAAGCCUAAUAAACUAAUAAACUUUCAAACUUCUAAAACUCAUGUCGAACCACGUCUAACCAACUCGGAAUGACCUCAAAUUUUACACACAAGUUUCGAAUGACAUGACAAAUUUAUUCCAACUCUCGGAACAACAAUCUGAACUCGAUAACACCAAAGUCAACCCUGGUUAAACCUAUAAACUUUUCAAACCUUCAAAUUUCUAACUUUCGCCAAAUAGAACCAAAUCAACCUAGGGACCACUAAAUCCAAUUCCGGACAUACGCCUAAGUCCAAAUUACCAUACGAACUUAUUAAAACUAUCGAAAUAUCAUUUGUUGCCCAUUUGCAAAAAAGUCAAAUCUCGACCAACUCUUAUAAAUUAAACUUUCAACCUUGGAACUAAGUGUAUCAAUUCAAUCCAAAACCUUUCUGAAAUUAAACAAACUAUUCAUGUAAGUCACAUAACAACAAAUACACAUAUGAAAAGCAUCGAAUGGGGAAACGUGGCUCACAUAUACAAAAUAACUGGCCGGGUCGUUAUAGUUGGUGUUGUUGAAAUAGAAUAGGUACAUCUUACGGAGUUUGAAUCUCAGUUUUAGAAUGAUCUGGUGGAGUUUUGAGGUGAUUUGAAUUGAAACCUAAAAGUAUAAGAUGAACAUGGAAAAAGAUGAUAUGUGUAUGAUACUGUAUAUCAUUUGUGAAUCACAUAUAUAUCAUAUGUGUGUAUAUAUAUAUAUAUAUAUCAUAUGUAUUUCCGCGUGUGAGAUACAUGCGUGAUACGUGUUUGAUACAUGUGUGGCAAAAGAAUUUUUAAACUUGAUUUUAAGUACGAAUUUUGAUACCAAAUUACCUUCAAUCUUCCUCAAAUUUUAUAUACUGACUCAUCUAAAUGUUUUAAUGAAUUUCAACCAUGCCCAUUGAAAAAGGUCCCUGUUUGCUUAGGUUUUUGGAAUCUUAUAUAUAUUUUUUCUUUGUGUUUCAUCACCUUGCAUGCUAUUUUAUUCAUGAAAUUUUCUUUUUGUUGCAUCAAAUAUUACUGAUCACGCUAAAAAUUAUGGAAGGAGAUCUUUGCAUGUGAUUCUUAGAGAGAAAGAAUUCUCAUUUAUAUUGGUUUUCAAUUUUCAAUGCACUUGACUAGUUUUGCAAGUCUGUUAUUAAUGGCUAGAGGUUGGUAAGUUUAAACUUAUUUUAGAUAUUUUCGUAAGAUUUUUCUUUAGUAAAUUAGUUAAAUAAUUUGUAUUUGUAACGUAAAUAUUUGCAAUGUGGUCGUAUAUCACAUAAUACUUCUGUGUUCUUUACCGCUAACGAGCUAACGAGAUAAGAGAGAAACGUACAGUUGUCCGUUUGUGAAAAUAUAUUACGAUGAAUAUAUUCUAACAUUGGGUCCUCCCGCGAAAACAUGUUAUGGCAAACAGUGAUAUUAAUUAGUUAAGAUACAAUAUUUUCUUUCUCAAGGUACAAAGCUUGAUAUAUACAUAAAGAGGCAAUGAAAGCGCUAUUACAGGUCCACAAAUGAAUUUGUUCAAUAAGCUAAUACUGCUAUAUCAUUGAAUCAGUAUAUGUAGUUCAAAUAGAAAAAAGUAAAAAAGAUUAAGUUAUCCAAAAUUAUAUACAAUCUGUUAAAAGAUACUUUGGAUUAGUUUUGGUGCACUUACCAAAAAAAUUAGAAUUAUGUUGGCGGUGAGUCCUUGCUAUCCAAAAUCAAUUAGAAUUUACUUUGUAUUGGUCUUUGUUAUAUUUACUCAGUUAUGUCCAAAAACAAUUAGAACUAUUCUAAAAGAAUUUUAUCAAUGAAAAUUAUGUUAGGGGCCGUGAUCUGAGCUGUCCAAAAAAUAUUAUUCCUUCAUUGUCAAUUUAGAUGAGGUAGUUUACCCGGCAUGGAGUUUAAGAAAAAAAAAAGACUUUUAAAAUGUGUGGUCUUAAAAACUUAAGGGUAAAAGCUUUGUGGGAUCAUAAUAUUUGUGUGGUUAUAAAAGCUUCUCAUUAAGGGUAAAAUGGGCAAACUAAAGACUUCAAAGUUGAAUUAUUUUCAAAUUCAAAAAUAUGUCAUUUAUUUUGAAACAGACAAAAAAGGAAAGUAACUCAUCAAAUUUGAAAUGGAAAGACUAAUAUACUAUCCUAUAAGUAGGGGUGGCAAAUGGGCAUGUUGGCUGAAUUUGGGCGGGUCAAGAUGGAUUAGGUCAAUAAAUGGGUCAUUGCCCAACCCAGCCCAAAGUGUAUCUGGGUCAAGAUGGGUUAAACAAUGGGUCAUAACCCAACCCGCCCAACUAUGCUCAUCUUGAAUAAAAAAAAUAUUUUACCUUAAAAUAUGUGAGUUGACAAAUAUUUUAUGGGUGGGGGGNNNNNNNNNNNNNNNNNNNAAAAAACAAAAAAAAAGUGAAUUUUUUUUUAGGGGUUUUGCAGGGGGAGGGGGGAGGGUGGGUGGCGCAGAAAAACAAAAAAAAACAGAAAAUUAAAA
rnacentral:lncRNA from 1 species